AGAACGAACGCUGGCGGCAGGCUUAACACAUGCAAGUCGAACGCUCGUAGCAAUACGGGAGUGGCAGACGGGUGAGUAACGCGUGGGAACAUACCCUCCGGUUCGGAAUAGCUCAGGGAAACUUGGAUUAAUACCGGAUACGGCCGAGAGGCGAAAGAUUUAUCGCCGGAGGAUUGGCCCGCGUUCGAUUAGCUAGUUGGUGAGGUAACGGCUCACCAAGGCGAUGAUCGAUAGCUGGUCUGAGAGGAUGAUCAGCCACAUUGGGACUGAGACACGGCCCAAACUCCUACGGGAGGUAGCAGUGGGGAAUAUUGGACAAUGGGCGCAAGCCUGAUCCAGCCAUGCCGCGUGAGUGAUGACGGCCUUAGGGUUGUAAAGCUCUUUCGCUCGGGACGAUAAUGACGGUACCGAGAUAAGAGCCCCGGCUAACUUCGUGCCAGCAGCCGC
rnacentral:rRNA from 1 species